rnacentral:lncRNA from 1 species
AAAAAAAAAUUAUGGGCAACAAAGUGAAAGGAAAUUAAAGUAAAGAAUGAAACGCUUUUUUUUGUGGGGAAUGCCGACAAUUUUUUGUUUGUUUUUUUAGAAGCCGGACAACUCAGAGCUCAGGAAUUCAGAACAGAGUGCGUUGGGUCCAACCACUCCAACGGGUUAUUUAUUAAACAGAUAAUUGCCGCAACAAAAACAUCAAAAGAGGAGGGAAAUGUUGUUGGGAGAGAAAAAGAAAGAACGUUCAUUGCUAUGAAUCGUAAGAUAGUCUUUGUAAUUUAAUUUCUACUUAUCAAAUAAAUAGUAAGAACAGAUCAUCCAUGAAUUAGACUAAUCGAAUUGUGAAGAGUUAUGCUGUGUAUGGACAAAAACUCAAUAGAUUGGUGGGGAAUCACGGGUGUCAUCACUCUACGUCUGUAAUGUGAGAGAGCUGUCGUUGGUACUCGUGACAUGGUCACAUCUAAGCAUUGCAUGUUGUCAGAUGGACCAGAACCCAACAUGGCAUGUGUGAUAUCUGUCAUUAUGUCAAACUAUGGCAUGUGGUUUUCUAUCAUUUUUUUUCCCAAUAAAAUGCUGAUGCAGAGAUUUCAUAUUUUCAACAUUCACCAAUAAAUAAAAAAUAGUAUACAGAUUACAGAUGUAUAAACAAAACUUGAUUUCAGCAUAUUAGGUUAAAAAAUAGAAAGACUAAGCCACUAAACUGAUUUCCACUUGCAAUUCUAUCAACAAAUCAUUCUAAAAAAAUAUCAUCAUGCGAUUCAGAUCUAUAAAUCUAUUAAUAUCAUGAUGCCAAAUUACCAUUGUGUUUUACUUUCUUUAAUAAAUGCACCAACUUUACUGGUAGAAUGGUAGUAUGAAUUAUGAUUAUUUGUUGAAUUUAAAUGAUCUAUCCAACUAAUACAACACUAGGAAUCUAGGAUAAAGUUAAAUCUUACAUAUAUUAGAAUUUUCAACUCUUUUGAGUUUUGAUCAAUAAUCCAGAACAUUCAACUGUUUUAUUAGUUAUAAAUAUGGAACUGUAGAAGAAGAUGAUGUCAAUAAAAAUAGCAAUAUCAGUAAAAUACUUUCCUUGAACAGUAAGGAGAAAAGCAGUACCAGUCACCAGUUCUCU